rnacentral:rRNA from 1 species
GAUUCCCUUAGUAACGGCGAGCGAACAGGGAUCAGCCCAGCGCCAAGUCCUAACGCUUCAAGUGUUUAGGAGAUGCGGCGUUAAUGUAUUAGCGCAUCGCAUGUUGUUUCGUGCUUCAAGUUCCUUUGACAAGGACUCCCAGAGUGGGUGCUAGGCCCAUAGAGGCUGCGAAACUGACAUGCGCAGGCUAAUGCAUUUUAGAGUCAGGUUGCUUGAGAGUGCAGCCUAAAGCAGGUGGUAAACUCCAUCUAAGGCUAAAUAUUACAGCAAGACCGAUAGCAAACAAGUACCGUGAGGGAAAGUUGCAAAGAACUUUGAAGAGAGAGUUCAAUAGGACGUGAAACCAUUAACAGGUAAACGGGUGGAACCACGAAGUUUGCGCUGAUGGCGAUUCAAUUAAUUUGAUCUGGUUGGCUGUAAUUGUUCAAUGGGUCUUUUCGGAGACUGUACAAUUGCCGUCUGCAAUCAGGUUAGAUUAGUGCAUUUUGCUCAUCAGGUGCUUCAACCACGUCCGAUUAGGUGGCUGGGAUGGCUAUUAGGAUUCAUUGAAGGUAGCCGUUGAUUAGUUUUACACUGAUCAGCGGUGUUAUAGCUUUGAAUUUUUGCCGUCGUCUAGCGUGCUGAUCGGUAAAAGUUUUCCGAUUCCGGAAUCUAGCCAGUAAUGGUCAGGUGUGCUUCAGUUGUCAAUAGUGUUGGUGGUAGUCAGCGCUUUUCGUAUUUUCGGAUGCGUAAAGUCUGGCUGCUUGGCCAAUCUAUUCGUCGCUGUUGCAUGAUUUGGCUGGUGCAAACUGUGGUGUUAGUAGGUCGGUCUCCACCCGACCCGUCUUGAAACACGGACCAAGGAGCCUAACAUAUACGCAAGUCGCUCGGUCUUGUUUAGGCCAGGGAGGCAUAAUGAAAGUAAAGCUACGAGAUUGUGAGGUGCUUGCGCCGAUCGAUUGCAGUAGCGGCCCGCCAGCUUCGUUUAUUGGCGAUAUGGCGGAGCUGGAGCGUAUACGUUGGUACCCGAAAGAUGGUGAACUAUGCCUGGGCAGGACGAAGCCAGAGGAAACUCUGGUGGAGGUCUGCAGCGAUUCUGACGUGCAAAUCGAUCGUCAGACCUGGGUAUAGGGGCGAAAGACUAAUCGAACCAUCUAGUAGCUGGUUCCCUCCGAAGUUUCCCUCAGGAUAGCAGGCGCUAAUUUGAAUCAGUCUCAUCCGGUAAAGCUAAUGAUUAGAGGUCUUGGGACCGAAACGGUCUCAACCUAUUCUCAAACUUUAAAUGGGUGAGAUGCCUGACUUGCUUAAUUGAAGCCAGGCAUUUGGAUGUUGAGUGCCUAGUGGGCCAGCUUUGGUAAGCAGAACUGGCGCUGUGGGAUGAACCAAACGUCGAGUUAAGGCAUCAAAUGCUUACGCUCAUCAGAUCCCAUGAAAGGUGUUGGUUGCUAUAGACAGCAGGACGGUGGCCAUGGAAGUCGGAAUCC